rnacentral:rRNA from 1 species
AAGUCUGACGCAGCAACGCCGCGUGAGGGAUGAAGGCCUUCGGGUUGUAAACCUCUUUUCUCAGGGAAGAUAAUGACGGUACCUGAGGAAUAAGCCACGGCUAACUACGUGCCAGCAGCCGCGGUAAUAA